GUAGGUGGCAAGCGUUGUACGGAAUUAUUGGGCGUAAAGCGCGCGCAGGUGGUUCGUUUAAGUCUGAUGUGAAAGACCCCCGGGCUCAACCGGGGAGGGUCAUUGGAAACUGGGGAACUUGAGUGCAGGAGAGGAAAGUGGAAUUCCACGUGUAGCGGUGAAAUGCGUAGAUAUGUGGAGGAACACCAGUGGCGAAGGCGACUUUCUGGCCUGUAACUGACACUGAGGCGCGAAAGCGUGGGGGAGCAAACAGGAUUAGAUACCCUGGUAGUCCACGCCGUAAACGAUGAGUGCUAAGUGUUGGGGGGGUUUCCGCCCCUCAGUGCUGCAGCUAACGCAUUAAGCACUCCGCCUGGGGAGUACGGUCGCAAAGACUG
rnacentral:rRNA from 1 species